GGAAUCUUAGACAAUGGGGGAAACCCUGAUCUAGCCAUGCCGCGUGAGCGAUGAAGGCCCUAGGGUUGUAAAGCUCUUUCACCGGUGAAGAUAAUGACGGUAACCGGAGAAGAAGCCCCGGCUAACUUCGUGCCAGCAGCCGCGGUAAUACGAAGGGGGCUAGCGUUGUUCGGAAUUACUGGGCGUAAAGCGCACGUAGGCGGAUUGUUAAGUGAGGGGUGAAAUCCCAGGGCUCAACCCUGGAACUGCCUCUCAUACUGGCAAUCUCGAGUUCGAGAGAGGUGAGUGGAAUUGCGAGUGUAGAGGUGAAAUUCGUAGAUAUUCGCAGGAACACCAGUGGCGAAGGCGGCUCACUGGCUCGAUACUGACGCUGAGGUGCGAAAGCGUGGGGAGCAA
rnacentral:rRNA from 1 species